UACGUAGGGUGCGAGCGUUGUCCGGAAUUACUGGGCGUAAAGGGCGCGUAGGCGGGAUGGCAAGUCGGUCGUGAAAUCCCUCGGCUCAACCGAGGAACGUCGAUCGAUACUGCUGUUCUUGAGGAUUGCAGAGGAGACUGGAAUUCCCGGUGUAGCGGUGAAAUGUGUAGAGAUCGGGAGGAACACCGGUGGCGAAGGCGGGCCUCUGGGCAAUUCCUGACGCUGAGGCGCGAAAGCGUGGGGAGCAAACGGG
rnacentral:rRNA from 1 species